AUUGAACGCUGGCGGCAUGCCUUACACAUGCAAGUCGAACGGUAACAGGUCUUCGGAUGCUGACGAGUGGCGAACGGGUGAGUAAUGCAUCGGAACGUGCCCAGUUGUGGGGGAUAACUGCUCGAAAGAGCGGCUAAUACCGCAUACGACCUGAGGGUGAAAGCGGGGGAUCGCAAGACCUCGCGCAAUUGGAGCGGCCGAUGUCAGAUUAGGUAGUUGGUGGGGUAAAGACCUACCAAGCCGACGAUCUGUAGUUGGUCUGAGAGGACGACCAGCCACACUGGGACUGAGACACGGCCCAGACUCCUACGGGAGGCAGCAGUGGGGAAUUUUGGACAAUGGGCGCAAGCCUGCUCCAGCAAUGCCGCGUGCAGGAAGAAGGCCUUCGGGUUGUAAACUGCUUUUGUCAGGGAAGAAAUCCUCUGGGUUAAUACCCCGGGGGGAUGACGGUACCUGAAGAAUAAGCACCGGCUAACUACGUGCCAGCCGCCGCGGUAAAAC
rnacentral:rRNA from 1 species